UGCUUUUGUGUAGGACUGUAAACGCU
rnacentral:piRNA from 1 species